rnacentral:rRNA from 1 species
GACGGGGGGUCCUAGCGUUGUUCGGAAUCAUUGGGCGUAAAGCGUGCGCAGGCGGUUUUGUAAGUCUGUCGUGAAAGCCCCGGGCUCAACCUGGGAAUUGCGAUGGAGACUGCAAGGCUUGAAUCUGGCAGAGGGGGGUAGAAUUCCACGUGUAGCAGUGAAAUGCGUAGAGAUGUGGAGGAACACCGAUGGCGAAGGCAGCCCCCUGGGUCAAGAUUGACGCUCAUGCACGAAAGCGUGGGGAGCAAACAG